CUGAAAUAUUUCUGAAGCACGGAAGGACGCACCAAUUAUCAAGGCACCGUAGGAUGUCUGAUCAUUUUGACAGCCACUGGGAGAUUUGUGACGCCACAAUUAGACCUGGUCAGUGUUUUAAUCACGUGCUGCGGCAGAUGCAGCCACGAGAAGGGUGAUCCAGUUUUUGGAGUCAGCUGGGAUCGGCGUCUUGAUCAUCAGAUGCAGUAAAAGGUUGGAGGGCCGUGAGCACGUUUGUUCCUGGUGCAUAUGUGCUGACAUGAGUAAGUGGAGGCGAAACAUCCGUAAAACAGAGGAGAGCAGAGGGCUGAUAUUUGGGAAUUUGGGUCAAUGCACUGAAAGUUCCCCUGAAUUAGGAGCAGCUUAACAUGGGGAGUAACUGUGGGAGCUUGCUGAAAGGAGAAGAGUCAUGGUGAGAGGGAAGAGUGUCUGAUCGUUCAUCUGAGGGGACACCCAGGUACAACUUGGGUCUGGGACCUACUCCCUCAAGACUAGCACGUUUCGAAGUUUGGGAUUCAGAGACAACAGAGCUAGGUUUACACUCUAGCUCUUCAUUUUGUAGCAUGGAAUUUUGGGGUAUCACUAAAGCUUUCUGAGCGCAGGUCACCUCACUUGUCAAAGGGGUAACACCUCCGGAAACCUCAGGGAAAUAUUAUAUGAGCCAAUACGUGUAUUUCCCACUCACUGGGUUUCAAUUCGUACUACCAGAAAUGGUUUCGCUAUUCAGGAGCUCGGGAUCAAAAGGUUGUAACCCACCCCUGUUCCUGACACACUGCAGUAUUCAUCCAUGCCGAAUUUAGAAUUAUUAACGUUGAUGUGGGUAGCACUUUGGAGGUGACAAAUGCUUUAAUACACAUAAAUUGUGAGAAGAAGGUAUAAUCCUGGUGAUGUUAAUUACAAAGACAGAUCUCCAGAUACCAUUUCACUCAGAUAUGUGAAUAUUACUGAACGCAAACACAGGUUCAUUACCUGUUACACUGAAAGGCCCAAAACUGGAAAUGCCAGGCUUGUGGCAAGGAAAGAGGUUUAUUAUCAAAAGGCAAGCAGACUAGGAGAUGGGAGAUAGAACUCAUAUCCACCUCCUCGAAGGGAAGAAGAUAGGGGUUUUCAUCUGGGGUUUUAGACAGAGGAGGCAGCUUGUGCUGGGCUUUUAGGCAGGGGAGGGGGAGCAUGUUGCCUUGCCGGUUGGUUCCUUCCCGUCAGCCUGCACUUGGCCUUGAAGGCUGAGAUUUUUUUCCUUUGACUCUCCGGACUUUUCUGGUUAGUUUUCAUCUUCAGCCUGCUUUUGGCCUUGUGAGGCUGAAUCUUGAUGUCUGGACCUUUAUUUCCUGGGAAAGACAACUCGCUCAUAUACUAGGGAGGGUCAGAAAGAUCUGGUUAGUUUUGAACAGCAGUUGAUUAUGCUGAGUAUGCACAGUUGCAGUUAGCAAAGAUUAUCUCAAAGGUUUUUUUCUCUACUUCUAGUCCAGGAAAGAUUUUUUAACCUCUUCAUCCUCAGUUUCAGGAAGAAGUCAACUAAAUUACUCCCCAAAUUAAAUUCCUGCACUCUGCAUUUGCUGAGCCUAUCUGCCCUGUUGGGAUCGUGGCACACACCAGUAGACUUAUGACGUGUGUCCUCCUGCUUCUUUCCUGUGUGAGGGCUCUUUAGUCCCUGAUAUGCACAAUGAGAGUCAAUGAACCUUCUCACACGAUUUUUCAGACUGUCCCUGGAUGAGGACACAGAGGGAGACAGGUGGGGCUGAGCUCCUGACACCGACACACAGUGCUUAGGGGACUGCUGGAGGGCCAGAUGGUGAAUGGGAAGUUCCUUUUGAUGGCGAAAGUACACAACUUUAUUUCACGUGGAGACAAAGGUUGGGGUUACAAGCUGAACAGGUGAAAUCCAGUCACAUUCGUCUCUCCAUCUGACGUUGGGAAUGGAUCCACAGAAUGGAGAUGAUGGUUUCACCCAAGUAUUUUCGCAAUUAGGAGCUCCUUUAUGAAAUAAAUGCAUAUCUAGCCAGGAAAAUAGUCCAUUUUUAUUCUGGUCUCACGGAUAUGUCUAGAAGAAAUUAAUAGUAAAAUGGUGUGUUCAUACAUUGUUGUAGACUUUCAAAAUACAUUUUUAAAAGAACAAUUUAAUGAAACACAUUUAUAGCACUUUUUCCAUUCUUGAAACUUCCAAAAGUGACUUUUUUCAGAUUGAAAACAAAAACGAAUUUGCCUCAACUUUUGUUAUAUUGUUACUAAUGAGAUCAGAGUGAAAAUUACGUCUUAAAAACAUAGUAAUAAUAUCUUAAACAUAAUAAUAAUCUUGAACAUAAUAAAGAUAAUAUUAAACAGUUGUCUUAAAUUUACCAAAUAAAUAGUUGUGCUAUUAUAAGAGAA